CAAUAGCGUAUAUUAAAGUUGUUGCAGUUAAAAAGCUCGUAGUUGGAUUUGUGGCGUACGGUGUGUUCCGGGCACUUGUUGUCUGAGUAACCUGCUGUUGCCAUCCUUGGGUGGAACCUGUGUGGCAUUAGGUUGUCGUGCAGGGGAUGCCCAUCAUUUACUGUGAAAAAAUUAGAGUGUUCAGAGCAGGCUUAUGCCGUUGAAUAUAUUAGCAUGGAAUAAUGAGAUAGGACUUUUUUGCUAUUUUGUUGGUUUGCGCAAAGAGGUAAUGAUUAAUAGGGACAGUUGGGGGUAUUCGUAUUCCAUUGUCAGAGGUGAAAUUCUUGGAUUUUUGGAAGACGAACUACUGCGAAAGCAUUUACCAAGGAUGUUUUCAUUAA
rnacentral:rRNA from 1 species